rnacentral:rRNA from 1 species
AGCGAACGCUGGCGGCAGGCCUAACACAUGCAAGUCGAACGAACUCUUCGGAGUUAGUGGCGGACGGGUGAGUAACACGUGGGAACGUGCCUUUAGGUUCGGAAUAACUCAGGGAAACUUGUGCUAAUACCGAAUGUGCCCUUCGGGGGAAAGAUUUAUCGCCUUUAGAGCGGCCCGCGUCUGAUUAGCUAGUUGGUGAGGUAAUGGCUCACCAAGGCUACGAUCAGUAGCUGGUCUGAGAGGAUGACCAGCCACAGUGGGACUGAGACACGGCCCGAACUCCUACGGAAGGCAGCAGUGGGGAAUCUUGCGCAAUGGGCGAAAGCCUGACGCAGCCAUGCCGCGUGGAUGAUGAAGGUCUUAGGAUUGUAAAAUCCUUUCACCGGUGAAGAUAAUGACUGUAGCCGGAGAAGAAGCCCCGGCUAACUUCGUGCCAGCCGCCGCAGUAACAC